UACGUAGGGUGCAAGCGUUGUCCGGAAUUAUUGGGCGUAAAGAGCUCGUAGGCGGUUUGUCGCGUCUGGUGUGAAAAUCCAGGGCUUAACCCUGGACCUGCAUCGGGUACGGGCAGACUAGAGUGCGGUAGGGGAGAUCGGAAUUCCUGGUGUAGCGGUGAAAUGCGCAGAUAUCAGGAGGAACACCGGUGGCGAAGGCGGAUCUCUGGGCCGUAACUGGACGCUGAGGAGCGAAAGCAUGGGGAGCGAACAGG
rnacentral:rRNA from 1 species